rnacentral:rRNA from 1 species
CAGGCUUAACACAUGCAAGUCGAGGGGCAGCAUGGUCUUAGCUUGCUAAGGCCGAUGGCGACCGGCGCACGGGUGAGUAACGCGUAUCCAACCUGCCUUACACUCUUGGACAGCCUUCUGAAAGGGAGAUUAAUACAAGAUGUUAUCAUGAGUAAGCAUUUUCGCAUGAUUAAAGGUUUACCGGUGUAAGAUGGGGAUGCGUUCCAUUAGAUAGUAGGCGGGGUAACGGCCCACCUAGUCUUCGAUGGAUAGGGGUUCUGAGAGGAAGGUCCCCCACAUUGGAACUGAGACACGGUCCAAACUCCUACGGGAGGCAGCAGUGAGGAAUAUUGGUCAAUGGACGAGAGUCUGAACCAGCCAAGUAGCGUGAAGGAUGAAGGUUCUAUGGAUUGUAAACUUCUUUUAUACGGGAAUAAACGGAUCCACGUGUGGAUUUUUGCAUGUACCGUAUGAAUAAGGAUCGGCUAACUCCGUGCCAGCAGCCGCGGUAAUACGGAGGAUCCGAGCGUUAUCCGGAUUUAUUGGGUUUAAAGGGAGCGUAGAUGGGUUGUUAAGUCAGUUGUGAAAGUUUGCGGCUCAACCGUAAAAUUGCAAUUGAUACUGGCAGUCUUGAGUACAGUUGAGGUAGGCGGAAUUCGUGGUGUAGCGGUGAAAUGCUUAGAUAUCACGAAGAACUCCGAUUGCGAAGGCAGCUUACUAACCUGUAACUGACAUUGAUGCUCGAAAGUGUGGGUAUCAAACAGGAUUAGAUACCCUGGUAGUCCACACGGUAAACGAUGAAUACUCGCUGUAGGCGAUAUGCAGUCUGCGGCCAAGCGAAAGCAUUAAGUAUUCCACCUGGGGAGUACGCCGGCAACGGUGAAACUCAAAGGAAUUGACGGGGGCCCGCACAAGCGGAGGAACAUGUGGUUUAAUUCGAUGAUACGCGAGGAACCUUACCCGGGCUUAAAUUGCAACCGAAUAUGGCGGAAACGCUAUAGCUAGCAAUAGCGGUUGUGAAGGUGCUGCAUGGUUGUCGUCAGCUCGUGCCGUGAGGUGUCGGCUUAAGUGCCAUAACGAGCGCAACCCUUGCCGAUAGUUACUAACAGGUCAUGCUGAGGACUCUGUCGGGACUGCCAUCGUAAGAUGUGAGGAAGGUGGGGAUGACGUCAAAUCAGCACGGCCCUUACGUCCGGGGCUACACACGUGUUACAAUGGGGGGUACAGAGGGCUGCUACCACGCAAGUGGAUGCCAAUCCCAAAACCUCUCUCAGUUCGGAUUGAAGUCUGCAACCCGACUUCAUGAAGCUGGAUUCGCUAGUAAUCGCGCAUCAGCCACGGCGCGGUGAAUACGUUCCCGGGCCUUGUACACACCGCCCGUCAAGCCAUGGGAGCCGGGGGUACCUGAAGUGCGUAACCGCAAGGAGCGCCCUAGGGUAAAACUGGUGACUGGGGCUAAGUCAUAAC